ACGGCAGCGCGGGGUAACCUGGCGGCGAGUGGCGAACGGGUGAGUAAUACAUCGGAACGUGCCCUGUGAUGGGGGAUAACUACGCGAAAGCGUACCUAAUACCGCAUACGACCUACGGGUGAAAGUGGGGGAUCGCAAGACCUCACGUCAUAGGAGCGGCCGAUGGCGGAUUAGCUAGUUGGUGAGGUAAAGGCUUACCAAGGCAACGAUCCGUAGCUGGUCUGAGAGGACGACCAGCCACACUGGGACUGAGACACGGCCCAGACUCCUACGGGAGGCAGCAGUGGGGAAUCUUGGACAAUGGGGGCAACCCUGAUCCAGCAAUGCCGCGUGUGGGAUGAAGGCCUUCGGGUUGUAAACCUCUUUUGGCCGGGACGAAAAAUCUAGGGCUAAUACGCCUCUGGGAUGACGGUACCCGGAGAAUAAGCCCCGGCUAACUACGUGCCAGCAGCGGG
rnacentral:rRNA from 1 species